rnacentral:RNase_P_RNA from 1 species
GCAGUCCGACGGUUUGUCGCUCAACGAAGCAGUCGUUGGGAGGAAAGUCCGGGCAACACAGAGCUCCAUACUUCCUAACAGGGAGCUGCUCGCGAGGGCAGAGUAACGUAACAGAAAAUAACCGCCGCCGUAUAUGCGGUAAGGGUGAAAAGGCGAGGUAAAAGCUCACCGGGUAUUACAGAGAUAUAAUAUGCCGUACGUCUUAUGGGUUGCAAGGUCAUGUAUACCGGCGAAUAAGGGUUGCUCGCCCGAUGCCGGGGGGUAGACCGCUCGAGCCUGACGGCAACGACAGGCCAAGAUAAAUGACAGACGCCUGCAUCAUUGCAGGAACAGAACCCGGCUUACAGGCGGACUGCUUUC